rnacentral:lncRNA from 1 species
GUAACCAGACUGUGAACCAGACUAUCAGGAGUCAGAAAAGUUGCAUGGAUGUGGUCCCCCAAAGAAGCUUAGGGGAUCAUUUUGCUGUGCAGACAAGUCUCCUGACUGUAAAAUGCAGGAGUUGGUCCAAUCUACUGUGAUGUUUUUCUUUUGGUAAUAGUGGCAUGGAGCAGUCACUCCAAGAGGUGUGACUAAGGAAUAAACCAUUCAGCCAGCCUGAGGUUGCAAAGGGUGCUCCAUGGUGAGCCAGAUGCCUCACAGUGCCCACAGAGUGAAUUUAUGACAAGAGACAGCACCCAGAGCUGGAGACCAGACAAUGGGGCUGGAGGAGACCUCAAGAACAAGAGUGGGAGCAAACAGACCAGAUAGGAGAAAUCUCAAGUGUAAGUUUACUGAGUUCUGAUAAUUGCAUACCUCUGGGUAAUCCAAACUCCUCUCCAAACAUUGACCAUGACCAUCAGGGCACUAGCCUGCCAGUCUUUGGACUGGAACUACACCAGCUGCUCACUUAGACUGAAACUAAACCAUCAGCUCUCCUGGGUCUCCAGCUUGCCAACUCACGCUUCAGAUCUUGGGACUUGCCAGCCUCCAUAAUUACGUUUGUAGCCGGUGUAAAAAGAGAGUGUCUUGAUAGGAGAUAGAGGUGGAAUUUUCUCUGUUCACAUCUGAGACAGCUUGUCAGCCAGUGAGAGAGCAACCCGACCUCAAGCUUGUUCUUCUCAGCUCUCUCCUUCCUGGACCAUUCAUCUACAAUAUAUCCAAAGACACAAACUUCUACACUUAUAGGAGCCUUGCCUACAAAAUCAAGUUAUUUUGCGGAAAACUGGAAAUGAAAAGAAAAACACUGAACCCCACAGUUUCAAGGCAGAGACAAAUUAUCUCAAGGUUGAAAACCAUGAACACUUCAUACUUUCAUGAUGGGGGUGAAGGGGUUUAAAGAGAUGACUUCUAAGAUCCUUCCAGGCUCUGCUGAGCCCUCUACCAGAUUGACUUGCCCAUGUUACUUCUAGGUCCCACGCUCUGUCCCUCCCGAAUGGUACACAGCUCUCGCUGGGUUCCAGAGAAAAUUGGGCAGCUCGACAAUGAACAUGAUGUGUUUCCCCAAGUCUCAUUUUUAAGGCGGCUUUAUCAGGUUUAAUUAGACAGCUGCCAUCUCUUGUGGCUUGCAGUGUAUAUUUAAGGAGAGAAACAUGAGUCGUCCUCUGUGAAAUGAAAAACAACAUCAUCAAAACUGUCUCUCCACUGCUCUGCUGGCUCCUUACCCACAGCCUAGAAACAUGUUCCAGUUCCUUCCAGGGCUCAGUGGAGAGUUUCUUGGUUUUUCAUCAUUUCACUCAGCCUUGGCUUCCC